rnacentral:misc_RNA from 1 species
AACGCACAUUGCACCUCUUGUGAGGUAUGCCUGUCUGAGCGUCGUUUGUAACCCAAUAGGCCUGGUUCUGCCUGGCCUGUUUUGGGCCUCGCCGGAGCCCCCCGGCGUUGCCCCGAUUGCAUGUUGUUGCUAAGCGGAUGAGAUCCCAUAAGACUCUAUUCCGACCGGCGACUGAACUGACGAAGCGUUUGGCCUCAGAUCAGGUAGGAGUACCGCCUGAACUUAA